rnacentral:rRNA from 1 species
GAAAGAUGGCCUCGCGUCUGAUUAGAUAGUUGGUGAGGUAACGGCCCACCAAGUCAACGAUCAGUAGCCGGACUGAGAGGUUGAACGGCCACAUUGGGACUGAGAUACGGCCCAGACUCCUACGGGAGGCAGCAGUGGGGAAUAUUGGGCAAUGGGGGAAACCCUGACCCAGCAACGCCGCGUGAAGGAAGAAGGCUUUCGGGUUGUAAACUUCUUUUACCAGGGACGAAGGACGUGACGGUACCUGGAGAAAAAGCCACGGCUAACUACGUGCCAGCAGCCGCGGUAAUACGUAGGUGGCAAGCGUUGUCCGGAUUUACUGGGUGUAAAGGGCGUGUAGGCGGAGAUGCAAGUCAGAUGUGAAAUCCUCGGGCUUAACCCGGGAACUGCAUUUGAAACUGUAUCCCUUGAGUAUCGGAGAGGCAGGCGGAAUUCCUAGUGUAGCGGUGAAAUGCGUAGAUAUUAGGAGGAACACCAGUGGCGAAGGCGGCCUGCUGGACGACAACUGACGCUGAGGCGCGAAAGCGUGGGGAGCAAACAGGAUUAGAUACCCUGGUAGUCCACGCUGUAAACGAUGAAUACUAGGUGUGGGGGGACUGACCCCUUCCGUGCCGCAGUUAACACAAUAAGUAUUCCACCUGGGGAGUACGACCGCAAGGUUGAAACUCAAAGGAAUUGACGGGGGCCCGCACAAGCAGUGGAUUAUGUGGUUUAAUUCGACGCAACGCGAAGAACCUUACCGGGAUUUGACAUCCUACUAACGAAGUAGAGAUACAUUAGGUGCCCUUCGGGGAAAGUAGAGACAGGUGGUGCAUGGUUGUCGUCAGCUCGUGUCGUGAGAUGUUGGGUUAAG